rnacentral:rRNA from 1 species
UGCAGUCGAUUCGAUUUACCUUCGGGUAUUGAGGAUGGCGGACGGGUGAGUAACGCGUAAGGAACUUGCCUCUUGGUCUGGGACAACUGUUGGAAACGACAGCUAAUACCGGAUAUUAUGAGAUUCUCGCAUGGGAAACUUAUGAAAGCUAUAUGCGCCAAGAGAGAGCCUUGCGUUCCAUUAGCUAGUUGGUGGGGUAACGGCCCACCAAGGCGACGAUGGAUAGCCGGCCUGAGAGGGUGAACGGCCACAAGGGGACUGAGACACGGCCCUUACUCCUACGGGAGGCAGCAGUGGGGAAUAUUGGACAAUGGACCAAAAGUCUGAUCCAGCAAUUCUGUGUGCACGAUGAAGGUCUUCGGAUUGUAAAGUGCUUUCAGUUGGGAAGAAGCAAGUGACGGUACCAACAGAAGAAGCGACGGCUAAAUACGUGCCAGCAGCCGCGGUAAUACGUAUGUCGCAAGCGUUAUCCGGAUUUAUUGGGCGUAAAGCGCGUCUAGGCGGAAAAAUAAGUCUGAUGUUAAAAUGCGGGGCUCAACUCCGUAUUGCGUUGGAAACUGUUUUUCUAGAGUACUGGAGAGGUGGGCGGAACUACAAGUGUAGAGGUGAAAUUCGUAGAUAUUUGUAGGAAUGCCGAUGGAGAAGUCAGCUCACUGGACAGAUACUGACGCU